rnacentral:lncRNA from 1 species
GCCCGCCGGUCGCAGAGCUGUCAGCAAGCUCCAAACCGCGGCUGCCGCCCGGAGGGAAGCAGACGGGGAGUCGGUGGCGGCCGCCGAGUCCGCAUGCGCAGGCUGCAAAGGCCCUUUUGGGCCGGUCCCGCCGCGCUAGGUUGGCGAGUGGGACUAUUUGAUCCUUUCCAGGUUCGCCAGCGUGGUGUUACGAGAGGAAAGCGCAGCCGCAGCGUACGAAUGGGAAGGCCAAACACGGUCCCGGGGAGUCUGAGGGAAGCUGCAGGGCGCCUGGAAUUGGGGUCUCGAGUGAGCCGGUAAAAACCGCCUCCCGCUGAGCGUCCCGGAACAAAUACUGUCUGAACUGAGCCGUAAGCAAGAAACGGUCAGGAGAAGCUGGGGCGAUCUGAUGAUUAGAACAUUUCAGGGACUACCAGAGAGAAGUGCGUAAUUGCUCUAAGGCAGGUAGGUAAUUGGCCUGGAAACUUGGGAACGCCCCGCCCCCCACCCCGACUUUCAGCAAACCACCGUGCCCAGGAAAAAGAGCGAUUGUGGAAGACCCUGUGAAGAAGAGACCAGGAAGGCACUGUGGCUUAAGAGAGCAAGGCGUUCCUGAAUGCAGCCAACAUCAACUGGUAAACAAAAAACUGUGAGAACGGAUCCUGAAUCUUGCGCUUACCAGGGGAAAUUCAGGAGAGAUAUGAACCUGAGCAAGAUGAGGUUGAAGUUACUCAAUGCGGCAUUAAGCCUGUUCACGGCCACUUCCUCCGGCGUCACCAACACACACACUGUACACCAGCAGUAUUUUUACACGGGGUAUGUGUGUUAAGUACUAUCAGGUGGAUAAUUAUUACUUCACCUGUAUUUGCUGCCUUGAUACCAUUAGAGAAACUCAUGAAUUAUAAAUAGCAUAGUGAAUUUGUGAUUCCCUGAAGAUAUACUAAGGUGGACUUUUAAAAAGGCUUCUAUUCCAAAGGGAACUAAUAUGGAGGAAAUGGUUUCGAGAAAGAAAAAAGAAAAAACGGAGUCCUUGAUUAGUUGUGGGGAAGGCAACAUAAUGUAAUGUGAAGAAUAAAGGAGUCAGAUCCAGGAAACCCCA